rnacentral:lncRNA from 1 species
CCCGACUGAGGUCGGACGUCGAGGUGAAUGCGGCUGAGGUGAAACCUUCGCUGGAGCUUCGUCCGAAUGCCUGCAAAAUAAGUCCACACGGAGGGAUGUUCUCCAGUGUAGGCGCUCCGACGGCCAAGUCAGGAGAUGGAGAAUAAGGAGAGGAGAAAGUGAGAAGUCGAUUGAUUGAUUCAUACCUUGAAGGGUUCUGAAAUCUUAAUUUAUAGGAGAAAAGUUUGAGUCGUAUCCAUCU